rnacentral:rRNA from 1 species
GGUACCGUUCGGGUCGCCGGCGAGUGGACGGACGGUGAGUAAUAUAGUCGGAACGUUACCUUCAGGUGGGGAAUAACGUAGACGAAAGUUACGCUAAUACCGCAUAUUCUGUGAGCAGGAAAGCAGGGGAUCGCAAGACCUUGCGCUGAUUGAGCGGCCGAUAUCAGAUUAGCUAGUUGGUGAGGUAAAGGCUCACCAAGGCGACGAUCUGUAGCGGGUCUGAGAGGAUGAUCCGCCACACUGGAACUGAGACACGGUCCAGACUCCUACGGGAGGCAGCAGUGGGGAAUUUUGGACAAUGGGCGCAAGCCUGAUCCAGCCAUGCCGCGUGAGUGAAGAAGGCCUUCGGGUUGUAAAGCUCUUUCGGCCGGGAAGAAAUCGCACAGGUUAAUACCCUGUGUGGAUGACGGUACCGGAAUAAGAAGCACCGGCUAACUACGUG